ensembl:lncRNA
UUAGAAUGUGUUGCAUUUUUAUUUUUAAAAAAAAAGACAUUAAAUAUUCAAAAUCAUCUCCUUUCUCAGAGAAAAAUAAUAGCUGUGUGAUUUCUAGUUAGGUAUGAUGAAAAAAAAAUCAUUGCAUGAUAAACUUGAAUACAUUUACCCGUGAACAGAGAAGAGUCUUACCAGCAAGAAGAAAACAAAAACAAGAAAGGAAAAGAUAUAAGGUGACAAUACACAAGUGUGACCCUGGCUCUGCUCUAACAGACUGGGGCAGGAUGGCUGGGUGUGCAUGGAGAGAAGUGACUUACUGAGAGGUGAGAGGUUCACUGGCCUUAAGAAGCAGUGAACUACGAUAAGGAUGUAUCUGAAUGUCUGACUGAUGUAGAUGUGCACAGAGCAACCCAAAGAGCGACAGAAGGAAAAGGUUGAUUAAAAAAAAGAAGAAAACAUUCAUUAGUGAUUAUAUUCCCCAAAGUACACUGAAUCAUAGACUUUUGCUGUGCAAUCGGUGAGUCACUGGUGUUCAUAAGAAGUUUGGAUCAGCUUAUAGUUCUUUCUUAUAUAAAUAAGGUUUUUUUAUUUUUACGUACUGUACAUGAUGUCUAGUCAGACACAAAGCUGGCCAGGAAAUAAUAAUAAUAAUAAUAAUAUAUAAAAAGACACACAAAUAUUAGGGAGGGAAUAGCUUAAACAUAUUUUUAUGUGUGUCCUCCCCCUUAACAUCAAGUCUUUGAAUAGAUUGGCUAUAGCACCAACAGGCUGGUUCUAAGAUGUUGCUGUCUGUUAGAGGAAGUUUACAGCCGAUUUUUUUAUGCUACCAAGCUACUGGGCAAGCAUUCUUUGUCGGCGCUCUCUCCACUUUUCAAGUCUUUACACAGGACGCAGGAGAGCAUCAGGGCAGGAAGCUCCUCGGGGAGGACCACACCUCCUCCCUCGGACCCCCUACCACUUGUGUGAAUGCAUAUUUGGUGCCGUGUCCACCUUGUGGAGAUUUGUUGGCGUACGAUCAUACAAGCAAGUUUUUUCAAAGAAACAACAACAACAACAACAACAACCAAAAGAAAAGAGAAAAGAAAUAGUUGCAUUGAAUGGAAAACUUCUAAAGGGGGUGAUCUCUAAGUUUGCUGUCAGAAGUCCUGGUGUAGUUUUGUUUCUUUCUUUCUUACAUUUUUUUCUCCUCCUCCAUAGGUUAGUAUUGCUUUUUGUUGUUGUUGUUUUUCUAACUGUAUCACACUCUUUCAUCUGACAUUACCUAGGAAAGGAAUCCAGAUGCUGAUAGGUCCAAUUAUCUUUAACUGCAUGCAUUGACAAGUAGCAGUGCAGCUAAAGUGCUUUAAGUGCUUGUGCUUGAAGCAUGAAGGGCAGCUGGCACCUGUGGCAAUGCAAGCCAGUGAUACCGGGCUCACCCCGAUUAAAAAAAAUACCUACACCAGGUUGCAUCACUGACAAGAGAGGAGUAGUGGAGGUGGGCAGGGUGCUGGAGUGAGGAAAUUAGGCACACGAAUAGGACAAACCUUCCAACAGUAGGGGUGAAGACAAGAAGGGUUGGAUGGGCUCAGUGAGAAGAUGUAUGACAGAGGGGCUGAAGGCCAAAGGGGGACAUGGAUGAGGACAAGAACAGCAGGGGCACCAAAAAGAAAGAUGAGAAGUUAAACUAGCCAAAGUGAUCCCUAAAAUUGCAAAGCAGCAUGCAGGCGCUUAAUACUCCUCUGAAAACAUGUCUUUAGAUAUCAAACGUGAACCUGUUAGCAUGACAGGACACUCUGAAGAGCUUGUGACUUGCUAUUGCUACAGGGAUUGGCAGCUGCAGUUACCAAAAAAGUAUGCAAAAUUCCACUAAACAUUCCUGCUGUUGCUACAUAAGCCGUCUUUCCACUGCUCCUUCCCAUUGUCAUUUUCACUUUGGGUGGCUUUUCACAUCAACAAAAGAGUUGACCAACCUUCAUAAAGUAUCAUUUUCUUCCACUUUUUAUGCCAAUUUAGUGGGUGUUUUUUCACAAGCUGGUGAAAUUCAAUUCAAUUCAAUUCAAUUCAAUUCAAUUCAAUUCAAUUCAAUUCAAUU